UACGGAAGGGGGCUAGCGUUGCUCGGAUUGACUGGGCGUAAAGGGCGCGUAGGCGGCGGACACAGUCAGACGUGAAAUUCCUGGGCUCAACCUGGGGGCUGCGUUUGAUACAUGUCUGCUUGAGUUCGGAAGAGGGUCGUGGAAUUCCCAGUGUAGAGGUGAAAUUCGGUAGAUAUUGGGAAGAACACCCGUGGCUAAGGCGGCUCUCUAGUACGGUACUGACGCUGAGACGCGAAAGCGUGGGGAGCGAACAGG
rnacentral:rRNA from 1 species